rnacentral:misc_RNA from 1 species
GAUGAAGAACGUAGCAAAAUGCGAUAAGUAGUGUGAAUUGCAGAAUUCAGUGAAUCAUCGAAUCUUUGAACGCACAUUGCGCCCCUUGGUAUUCCAUGGGGCAUGCCUGUUCGAGCGUCAUUUGUACCUUCAAGCUUUGCUUGGUGUUGGGUGUUUGUCCAUUCUCUUGCAGAGGGACUCGCCUUAAAGUAAUUGGCAGCCAGUGUUUUGGUUUUGAAGCGCAGCACAAGUCGCGAUUCAACGCUAUACGCCAGCUUCCACAAGCCUUUUUCACUUUUGACCUCGGAUCAGGUAGGGAUACCCGCUGAACUUAAGCAUAUCAAUAAGCGGAGGA